rnacentral:piRNA from 1 species
UGAUCAAGAGAAGACUCAACGGCUA